GGGUAACCGCCCCUCUCUCUUUCCGGCUGGUACGCCAUCAUGUAAGCGAGUUUUUCUGAAUUUCUACAAAACUUAAGUCAACAUGGGAGCAUAUAGGUAUAUGCAGGAGUUAUGGCGCAAGAAGCAGUCCGAUGUGAUGCGCUUCCUGCUGCGUGUUCGCUGCUGGCAGUACCGCCAGUUGUCCAACCUGCACCGCGCGCCCAGACCCACCAGACCUGACAAGGCCCGCAGACUCGGGUACAAGGCCAAGCAGGGUGAGUGA